rnacentral:rRNA from 1 species
GACGAACGCUGGCGGCGUGCUUAACACAUGCAAGUCGAACGGAGUGGCGAACGGGUGAGUAACACGUGGGUGAUCUGCCUUGCACUCUGGGAUAAGCUUGGGAAACUGGGUCUAAUACCGGAUAGUGCAAGAUGAGCUCGCGGCCUAUCAGCUUGUUGGUGGGGUAAUGGCCUACCAAGGCGUCGACGGGUAGCCGGCCUGAGAGGGUGUACGGCCACAUUGGGACUGAGAUACGGCCCAGACACGUACGGGAGGCAGCAGUGGGGAAUAUUGUACAAUGGGCGGAAGCGUGAACAAGCCAAGUAGCGUGAAAGAUGAAGGUCUAUGGGUCGUAAACUGCUUUAUAUAAGAAUAAUGUAUUGUAUGAAUAAGGAUCGGCUAACUCCGUGCCAGCAGCCGCGGUAAUUC